CCUGCUGAAGCCAGUAGGUUUCAGUAUGUCAUGCAGGAAAAUGAACACAUGUUCUGGUAAUAAAAAAAAGAAAAAGCAAUGUGUCCAAAUAGCAUGAGGUGAAACAGCUUUUAUUUUUUGCAUGCGCUCUGGUUUAUUUUGGCAGACCCUUCCUGAAACCCAGUUGAGAACCAUGGUUCUAUAGGACUGGGUGCUUCAGAGACAAAAGGAGAAAAAUGCUUUUGGGAAGGGCCCCAUUACUGGUAGCUGUGAGAGCUGCUUUUGACUGAAGAAAUGAAAGAUCUUAUGAAAUUCUUAUGCUACAUCAUAGCGAGCUCAGAGGAGACCGUGCAGAUUUCAUCAGCAGAGGUGACCAUGGAGUCCCAGAAUCGCAAAAGAGCUCCAGCAUGGACUAAACGGGAGG